CCCUCAAGAUCGCUGCGUAAUAUGUUCCUCGAUACCGUACGAACUAGAUCCGAAAACUAGUAUCACGGAACGGUUCCACUUUCCUAAAUGAUGAAAGGUCUACCAAUAUACCUUGUCCAUACCAGACUACAGUCCAACGCCCUCCGUAGACAUUAGUUAGAGAGGCUGUGUAAACGGUUGUGAUAUACGCUUCUUUACAAUGGAAGCAGUUCGUCAAAACAAUUACCACUAUGAAGGUCCUUUACAGCAGACUGCUGCCUUUUUUUAAGCCAUACACGUGUAUGACACUUCUGCUCGCGCCGGUCACGCUGUCUUUAAAGGAACAACUACCAUCCGCUAAGUCGUAGUUCGACCUAAUCUGAAAGCUUAAGCUAUGUGCGUAGGGUACGGUACCGUCUUAAAAACAGAACCUAUUCUAUCCAAAGUUUCUAUACCUUUGAUACCUCCAUUUCUCUCGAAUGGACUUUUGACUCGUACUACCAAUAUGAAAGUUGCAGUUUCAUAUGUUACGUGUGUGCAUGUGGAUAAAACUUACGUUUUGAACCGUUCGUGAUACGUUCCGAAUACGUAAACUCAGACCAUACCAAUACUGGAAACUAUAAGCAAGCCUUCUACUAUAACUUCUAUUAUCUCUGUAUACCCAGUUACACGUCUGCGGAGGUCAAGAUGGUAAUAGAAUAGAGGUAAGUUGGUUUGUACAGGCCGCGAACCAUCUGUCCUGGAAGAUGACAGGGCCUCGACUUGAUUUGACGCUCCUCUAUUCAGUAAUACAAAGUACCGAACUCCUAGAAGUAUGAUAGUUCUGUUUAAAAAAAGGACGUGAACCUUUACAAUCAUGAGUUUUGCACGCUGGUUAUCACUACCAUAACUUGAUGCCAGUGUAGAUAAAUCCUUACUACAACACGGAGUCCCCUAGCUCUGAUUUCCAGUCUACAGUUAACAAUCGAAUUCCGGUUCUAUAGGACGUAACGUGUACUUACGUAAGUCCUAAAGAUCUUGGCUACUUACGAAUUAUCACUUUCUAACCUUCUUUUAACAAUUACUAGCGUCUCUUCAUAAUCCACCGUCGUUACUCUUCGCGUCGGGUGCUAAUCCUCUGUCCAAGUAGCCGUACGAGGUCAUACUAGUUAAUCCUCUCGAUAUGUACAAGAUACGAUAAAAUGGUCUCUCUCUCAUCGAUCGUCCUCACUAAAUCGAUCAAGAAGUACGACGAGAAUUAAUCAUGAACCGGAAAGUACAGGCACAAGAAGCAAGACUUGAAUUCACUAAACGAAAACACCACAAUAUAUACUUGCGAAUAUUAUAGUACUGUUAGUACAACUUGAGCU
rnacentral:rRNA from 1 species